rnacentral:rRNA from 1 species
AUGCCACCCCCUAGUCGCCUCUCCCAGAAGCUCUGGGAAGAAACCAAAGGGCCGCCACUACAUCCUCCUGCUCCUUCUCGUCUCGCCGCCACCAAAGGAGGACCGCCCAUGUCGGCCCCAAGGAAAAUGGCUGCGAGAAACUUCCCUGCCGGCACGACGCAGGUGGGCGGCAAGGUGUCGAGCGGUGUAGAUCAAGGCAACACGACAACUCCUGGGCGGGAAGGUGAAGCGGCAAGCGGUUCCGUCCCUCCACCCCUGCCGUCGCUGCGAUCGCCCCGGCACUCCCCGCUCCGCCCCCACCCGACCCCUAACACACUGGUGCUCUACCCCCGCUCGUGGCCAUGGCGGAGAAGCCGAGGGUUUAGGGUUCCGGCGAGAUGUCGACGGCGAAUCCCCGCCCCGCGGCCAAUCGCGGCGCUCCCGCCCCCUCCCCCGCGCAGCCCGCGGCCGCCUCUGACGCCCCGGCCGCCGCGGCCGCGAAGACCGCCAUGCAGCUGCGCAAGCCCGUCUUCACCACCAUCGAGGCGGCUCCCGCUCCCGCUUCGGGCCAGCAGCCCCCUCGAGGCGGCUCCUCUCCUCUCCUCCCCACGCCCGCCUCGCCCUAAGGUACGACGAACGCCCUUGCUUCCAGGAUUCUUCCUUCUGUCGCCGCUGGAGAUGAGCAGCACCUGCUUGGAGUCGCUGAUGCCCAUGCACAGCGUGAUGGCUUCAGGGCUCAUGACGUUGCUCCUCGCCGCCCUGGCUCGCGUUGGUUCCUGCUGGAUCUCCGAAGGUGAAUUUCCCCCUCAUCUUACUGUUCCUGCAAUGUUUGAUUACUUCACCUAUGAAGCCCCCCUGUUCGUGUAUGUGCUAUUUGCCAUGGAGAUUGGUUCUGUAUUUGCUAAUCAAAUGUGCUUCCUUUCUGAACAACUGUUUCUACUUGUCCAUCCUCGAGACCGAUUGCAUGCUAUCGUAGAUGGGUCUGGGUUGAUCGAUGCCGUGGCUGCAGCUGGUCUUGGAUUAGACCAUGCAUGUUUUACAUUCAGUACUGCCAGAUCAGGAAACAACAAAGCUGCUGAAGCUUCAGCUGAUGCGGAUGAAGGACAGGGCAACAAUGCGUUGCAUGUGAUGGUGCUAUCUCACUGGAUCUGUGGACUGCAAUGGCCACCGAUGGGUCUUCAUGAGGGGUUCCUCUCUUUAUAUCCGGUGCCUAGUGCCACGACUCAUUCUAGCAAGGUUGCAAGAUGCAGCUGGAAGGCUCCUUUGAUUUCAACCACAAAGGUACUUUCAGGCAUAAGGAGCGAAUACCAGGAAUAUGGUGUAAAUAUCAUGAUAAGAGACUACCAUAAAAGGGAGAAGCAAAUUGGAGAAGAAUAUAGUCACUACAAAGGCUCCAGAGCAAGUGAUGGUAUCAGGUACGAUCGCGCGCGCUCGUACUGCCGGUCAUACCAGCUACCGCCGACUCCUCCUGGUCAAGGUUAUCAAUAUCGUCCAAAUGCUGUUGAAUUUUUGACUAUCCGGGAGGCUGGUUAUGAUGUUGAUUCUCCUGACAACCCGGUCUCCACACCGACGGGCAAUCCUCCCCUAUCACCAUCGCCUCCGGCGAGCCCAUUAUCGCCGUCGGUGACAAUUCAGUUUGGAUCUUUUCCUCCAUCCCCGAAAUCGGUUAGUUCGCCAAGCGGCAAUCCCGGAUAUUCUGGGAUUUCAAAAUCAUUUGGGCCCAUUCCAAUGGUUACUAUCCAUUCGGACAGCCCUAGCACUCCAUCAUGUGUUUUGGGCCCGGCCCAUGGACCCUUCCUAGGCAGCUCUUGCACUCCACCACUGGGAUUGGAUUUGGCCCAUGGAUCCUCUUUGGACAGCCCAAUUUUGUUAUCUGAUGAUGAUUCGCUUGGCACCACAUCUCUGGUUUGUCUUCCGUCACCAAAGGAAAUUGUGGAUGAUUUACAGAGUUUCAAUGAGAUGAUUGAGGAUAUGGCAGUUAAAUAUUGGGAUGUCAGAACUGUUUGGGUAUGGGUCACCUGUCCGAUACGUGCACGAAUCGUGUACGCUGCAGAUUGUGUUUUCGAGCGAUUGCCAAGAACCUACUACACCCCGAUGCAGGCCCCUCCAAGAGCCCAUGAGCAGUUCAUGGUGGCCAUCGUCGAGCCGCUGCCAUCGGCACAUCUUGUGGCCAUCAGACGGGAGCAAGUGCUCAACUUCUUGCAAGAGGAUCUUCAGGUGAUUAUUCGCUUUGCUCAGACCUGGUUCCAGGGGGUUGGUUUAUUUGAAGUGGCCAGUCCGGUGAUGAGAUCUUGGUUUACUCGACAUCCUCCUUUCCCCAUGGGUUUAGAUGAAGAUGGCCACGAGUUCUUUCAGCAAGAGCCUGAACAGAAUGCUGGUGGAUGGGGCCCUUGGGAUGAGGCUGUGGCUGUGCAGAACGCUCAACUGCAUGAGCCUGAAGUUCACGGAGCCCAAGAUAAGAACUCCAUGGUGUUGAAUCCCUCCUUGGGGUCCAACAGUUCUUCUGACGAUCAGCCAGCAAACGUUGAAGUUGUCCAGCAGGUUGUGGUCCAGGAAAAUUUGGAGCGUGCAAUUGUCCCCUACAUUCCUCCAGCUGUCCAUCCACCAGUGGUUAAUCUUGAUCCAAUCCAUCUGGGUGUUGUCAGGGUGGUGUUUGGUCCGGUUCUUCCACCUGCCAUGGUGUGGGAGCGUUCUUUUAAGAACCUAUUGCCUGAAUUUGAAAUUCAGAACAUUCACAGGCCCGUUUGUCUCUCUGUGCUUCCACCUGUGGUUUUGCCCAUGAGGAUAUGGCCCCAGGAGCUGGAGCACUCCUUCCAGUCUUUGAUUGGCAAGGUUUCUACUGGAACGGUUGGAGGAGCUGCAUCACAUAGGGAUUUAGCUGAGGGUUUUUCUACGGAGCCAGUUGAGCAGCAUGAUUUUGAAGGAGCUGCAACACAGAUGGAUCUACCUGAGGUUUUUUCUACGGAGCCAGUUCAGCAUGACGAUUUUGAGUUUACUUCCAAGACUCCAUCCAUGUUAGGCAAGCACAAACAUGGCCGUCGUCAGGGCACCAAGCUGGUUCGUUCUCCAGAGGAUUUUUCCACCAGGAGAAUGACCCGCAGUUGCGCCAAGAAAUCGGGCUUCAAACCUAUCUCUGCAAUUCCCAACAAGCCCUCUUCUCUACGGCGUCCUCGAGCUAAGAAGCCUAGGUAUGGUACUGUCUCUCAGGAGGAGAGCUCGUCUGCUGCAGAGGAGCACAACACGGCAGUUCCACCACCAACCCCAAUUAGUCUCAUGAAGCGUAUUGGAGAAUCUCUUGGGAUCUCACCAGAGAAGCUCACCAAGGACAAGCUUACGGCAAGUCCUGAGAAGAAGGACCAACACAAAGAUCGUGAUGAUAAGUGA